rnacentral:tRNA from 1 species
GGCCCCAUCGUCUAACGGUUAGGACGCAAGAUUCUCAAUCUUGUAAUCCGGGUUCGAUUCCCGGUGGGGUCACCA